rnacentral:rRNA from 1 species
GAUGAACGCUGGCGGCGUGCCUAAUACAUGCAAGUCGAGCGAACAGACGAGGAGCUUGCUCCUCUGACGUUAGCGGCGGACGGGUGAGUAACACGUGGAUAACCUACCUAUAAGACUGGGAUAACUUCGGGAAACCGGAGCUAAUACCGGAUAACAUGUUGAACCGCAUGGUUCAACAGUGAAAGACGGUUUUGCUGUCACUUAUAGAUGGAUCCGCGUCGCAUUAGCUAGUUGGUAAGGUAACGGCUUACCAAGGCAACGAUGCGUAGCCGACCUGAGAGGGUGAUCGGCCACACUGGAACUGAGACACGGUCCAGACUCCUACGGGAGGCAGCAGUAGGGAAUCUUCCGCAAUGGGCGAAAGCCUGACGGAGCAACGCCGCGUGAGUGAAGAAGGUCUUCGGAUCGUAAAACUCUGUUAUUAGGGAAGAACAAAUGUGUAAGUAACUAUGCACGUCUUGACGGUACCUAAUCAGAAAGCCAUGGCUAACUACGUG